GCCCGGGUGGCGGAACUGGUAGACGCGCUGGACUUAAAAUCCAGUGGACAGUAAUGUCCGUGCGGGUUCAAGUCCCGCCUCGGGUA
rnacentral:tRNA from 1 species